CCUACGGGAGGCAGCAGUGAGGAAUAUUGGUCAAUGGGCGAGAGCCUGAACCAGCCAAGUCGCGUGAAGGAUGAAGGAUCUAUGGUUUGUAAACUUCUUUUAUAUGGGAAUAAAGUGAGGAACGUGUUCCUUUUUGUAUGUACCAUAUGAAUAAGCAUCGGCUAACUCCGUGCCAGCAGCCGCGGUAAUACGGAGGAUGCGAGCGUUAUCCGGAUUUAUUGGGUUUAAAGGGUGCGUAGGUGGUUAAUUAAGUCAGCGGUGAAAGUUUGUGGCUCAACCAUAAAAUUGCCGUUGAAACUGGUUGACUUGAGUAUAUUUGAGGUAGGCGGAAUGCGUGGUGUAGCGGUGAAAUGCAUAGAUAUCACGCAGAACUCCGAUGGCGAAGGCAGCUUACUAAACUAUAACUGACACUGAAGCACGAAAGCGUGGGGAGCAAACAGGAUUAGAUACCCUAGUAGUC
rnacentral:rRNA from 1 species